GUGCUCGCUUUGGCAGCACGUAUACUAAAAUUAGAACAAUACAGAGAUUAGCACAGCCCUGCGCAAGAAUGACACGCAAAUUCGUGAAGUGUUCCAUGUAGUU